GAUAGGUUAAGUUAAUAAGGGCGCAUGGUGGAUGCCUUGGCACUAGAAGGCGAUGAAGGACGUGACUAACUACGAUAUGCCUCGGUUAGCUGUAAGUAAGCUUACCCGGGGGUUUCCGAAUGGGGCAACCCGAUCUUAAUGAUCAUCAUCUUUUUGAAUUCAUAGAUUAGAUGAAGCAAACGCUGUGAACUGAAACAUCUAAGUAGCAGUAGGAAAGUAAAGAAAUUUCGAUUCCGUCAGUAGCGGCGAGCGAACGCGGAAGAGCCCAAACCUGGAUGCUUGCAUCCAGGGGUUGUAGGACUGAUGUUGAGUUACAAAGGUAUAAGAUAGCAGAAACAGUUGGGAAGCUGUUCCAAAGAGGGUGACAGGCCCGUAUGCGAAAUCUUGUACUCUCUAAUCAGGAUCCUGAGUACGGCCCAGCACGUGAAAUUGGGUCGGAAUCUGGGAGGACCAUCUCCCAAGGCUAAAUACUAACUAGUGACCGAUAGCGAACAAGUACCGUGAGGGAAAGGUGAAAAGAACCCCGGAAGGGGAGUGAAAUAGUUCUUGAAACCGUGUGCUUACAAGAAGUUCGAGGCCGUUAAUGGCUGAGAGCGUGCUUUUUGUAGAAUGAACCGGAGAGUUACGAUUGCGUGCAAGGUUAAGGUGC
rnacentral:rRNA from 1 species